GACGUAGGGGGCGAGCGUUGUCCGGAUUUAUUGGGCGUAAAGAGCGCGCAGGCGGCUUGGUAAGUCGGAUGUGAAAACCCGAGGCUCAACCUCGGGCGUGCAUCCGAAACUGCUCGGCUAGAGGUAGGUAGGGGAGAUCGGAAUUCCUGGUGUAGCGGUGAAACGCGCAGAUAUCAGGAGGAACACCGGUGGCGAAGGCGGAUCUCUGGGCCUUACCUGACGCUCAGGCGCGAAAGCUAGGGGAGCGAACUGG
rnacentral:rRNA from 1 species